AUCGAACGCUGGCGGCAGGCUUAACACAUGCAAGUCGAGCGGAGAUGAGGUGCUUGCACCUUAUCUUAGCGGCGGACGGGUGAGUAAUGCUUAGGAAUCUGCCUAUUAGUGGGGGACAACAUUCCGAAAGGAAUGCUAAUACCGCAUACGUCCUACGGGAGAAAGCAGGGGAUCUUCGGACCUUGCGCUAAUAGAUGAGCCUAAGUCGGAUUAGCUAGUUGGUGGGGUAAAGGCCUACCAAGGCGACGAUCUGUAGCGGGUCUGAGAGGAUGAUCCGCCACACUGGGACUGAGACACGGCCCAGACUCCUACGGGAAGCAGCAGUGGGGAAUAUUGGACAAUGGGGGGAACCCUGAUCCAGCCAUGCCGCGUGUGUGAAGAAGGCCUUAUGGUUGUAAAGCACUUUAAGCGAGGAGGAGGCUACUGAGACUAAUACUCUUGGACAGUGGACGUUACUCGCAGAAUAAACACCGGCUAACUCUGUGCCAGCCGCCACAGUAACAC
rnacentral:rRNA from 1 species